rnacentral:rRNA from 1 species
AUGAGACCGCAAAUCAAAUCAGUAAAUCACCACGCCAAAUCGACACACACGCACGCACGCAUCCAUCCGUCUUGCUCCCUUCCGAUCGAGAACGGCGGCGCCAUUGCUGCCCCGCCGCGUUCUGCGCCUCGACGGCAUUGCCAAUUAGCAGCAGCUACCGCCCGGGCGGCGGUCGCUCGCUCAGGCCCACGUCGCCAGGAUCGCGCUGGCCACCACGUGGUGGUCGCUGGACCAGACCAGCCGGCCGAACCCGUUGGUGCCCGACGGCUUCCCGCCCGCCGCGAAGCUCACGGUGUAGCUCCUCUUCUCGCCCACCUUGCUGAAGCUCAGCGUCGACGGCUCCACCGACACCUUGAUCGCCGUGCCGCCCGCCGCGGCCGCCGCCGUCACCUUGUACGUGCCGGGCUUCCCGACGUUGGUCAGCGUGCGGGUGUGCUUCUCCGUGCCGCCCGCCGCGGGGAACGUGGCCGAGAACGACGGGUAGUUGAGCGCCGCCACGGAGUACGUGCGGUUGGGGCUGCAGUGGUCCGACGAGUGCUUGGUGAGCGCCGCGAUCUGCGCCGGCUCGUACUCGAUGGCGCAGAGGAAGUCCAGGUAGUCGGCGGCGGUGAGGUCGUACACCAGCCCCGGGUCCACCGCCUUGCUGGGGUCGACGUGCCCGGCCCCCAUGUCCAGCGGCGUGGCCGCGCGCUCGGUGGCCACGUCGAGCAGGCCGUCGCCGUUGGGGUACGCGGCGUAUGCGGUGGUCAUCAGCGCCGACCGGAUGGCCGCCGGGCUCCAGUCCUGGUGCGCCGCGCGGAGCAGCGCCGCCAGCCCGCUCACGUGCGGGCACGACAUGGACGUGCCGGAGAUUAUGUUGAAGCUGGUGCGCCGGUCGUCGCCGGCGAUCCCCGAUGGGCCGACGGAUCCGGACCACGCCGCGAGGAUGUUCACCCCCGGGGCGAUCAGGUCCGGCUUCAGGAUGCCGGGCGUCACGGUGUUCGGCCCCCUCGACGAGAAGGCGGCCACGACGGGCGACGGCUGGAUCCCAACCUUCGUGCCGGCGAACACUAUGUUGGCCGUCGGCUUCGGAUCCGACGACGCGUAGGUUCUCAUGGCGUUGCCGGCCUUCUCUCCGACGCCGGCGCCCGGGAGAAUGUGCGCGUCGGCGACCAGCUCCUCGCCGUUGGCGGCGGUGUUGGCGAGCACCAUGCCGGCACCACCGGCGUCUCUGACGACGAAUCCCUUCUGGACCCUGGCGUUGGUGCCGCGGUCGCAGAGGACGAUCUUGCCGGCGACCUUGGCAGGGAUGAGGGUGCCUGUCAUGCAGAGCGCGCCCAUGCUGCUGUUCGACGCGUUCCCUGCGUAGAUGAACGGCACCGGCGUGGUGGGCAAUUGCUUGCCGUUGUAGAGGGAGACGCCGUUGUACUUGUUACCGUCCCCGAGGGUGACGUAGGCGGGGAAGUCGCGGUCGAGUGUCCCCGCGCCCACGGUGGUGAUCCAUGGCGCGCCGUUCGUCAGCGACGCCGCGCCGGGCCCGGCAUUUCCCGCCGAGCAGGACACAAAUAUUCCCCUUUCCAUGGCGCUGUACGCGCCCACGGCGAUGCUGUCGCGGUAGUAGUCAGACGUGCCACCGCCGAGGGACAGGGAGAGCACGUCCACGCCGUCGGCGACGGCGACCUCCAUGCCCUUGAGGAUGUCGGAGCUGAAGCAGCCGCCGACCCAGCACACCUUGUACGUGGCCACGCGCGCGCGCGGCGCCAUGCCCUUGGCCGUGCCCGACGCGUAGCCCAGCAGGUCGGCGCCGCGCACGGCGGAGCCCGCCGCCGUGCUGGAGGUGUGCGUGCCGUGGCCGUCGUUGUCCCUGGGCGAGCGCGACUCCUUCGUCGUGUCCACGGGGCCCUUGGACGCCUCGUAGCCCGCCAGGAAGUACCUGGCGCCGAUGAGCUUCCGGUUGCACGCGGAGGAGUUGAAAUCGCUCCCGCCCUCGCACUUGCCCUUCCAGCCCGCCGGCACGGGGCCGAAGCCCGCGUCGUCGUAGCUGGGCCGCUCCGGCCACACGCCGGUGUCGAGCACGCCGACGAUGACGUCGCUCGCGGUGUUGGACUCGGGGAAGAGCGCCUCCGCCCGGUCCAGCCCGAGGAACUCCGGUGUCCGGGUGGUGUGCAGCUCGUACCGCGUCUCCGGGUUGACGAGCAGCACGCCGGGCUGCGCCUCCAGCGCCCGGGCCUCCGCGCGGGUGAGCCGCGCCGAGUAGCCGUGGAGCAGGGUGUCGUAGGUGUAGAUCACCUCGGCGGCGCCGCCGGACACGGACUGCAGCGACGAGGCGUACCAGUCGCCGUGCGCCGCGAACUCGCUGGGCAUGGCGGCGUGCGAGCAGUGGACGAUGUACGUCCUCCGGCCAUCGUGCACGACCUCCGCCGCCGCCGCCGCCGCCACGAUGGCCGCGACCACGGCCACGGCGAAGAGCGCAGAUCUCCUGCCAUGGCACCGCAUCGUGAGAAGCUCUGCAACUGGGGGUGUCACCUUGUGAAUGGGAGUGCGGGGUAG